GCGGGGGUGGCAGAGCCUGGUCAAAUGCGCAGGCUUCAGGAGCCUGUCCCUUAGUGGGUACGAGGGUUCGAAUCCCUUCCCCCGCA
rnacentral:tRNA from 1 species